rnacentral:rRNA from 1 species
GGUGAACGCUGGCGGCGUGCUUAGGACAUGCAAGUCGAACGGCAGUCUUCGGACUGUAGUGGCGCACGGGUGAGUAACGCGUAACUGACCUACCCCAAAGUCGCGGAUAACGAUUCGAAAGAAUCGCUAAUACGUGAUGUGCUGUCAGAUUGUGUUCUGCCAGUAAAGAUUGAUUGCUUUGGGAUGGGGUCGCGUUCCAUCAGCUAGUUGGUGGGGUAAAGGCCCACCAAGGCGACGACGGAUAGCCGGCCUGAGAGGGUGGCCGGCCACAGGGGCACUGAGACACGGGUCCCACUCCUACGGGAGGCAGCAGUUAGGAAUCUUCCACAAUGGGCGAAAGCCUGAUGGAGCGACGCCGCGUGAGGGAUGAAGGUCUUCGGAUCGUAAACCUCUGAAUCAGGGACGAAAGACACUUCGGUGGGAUGACGGUACCUGAGUAAUAGCACCGGCUAACUCCGUGCCAGCCGCCGCAGUGAGAC